UGGGGAAUAUUGCACAAUGGGGGAAACCCUGAUGCAGCCAUGCCGCGUGUGUGAAGAAGGCCUUCGGGUUGUAAAGCACUUUCAGCGAGGAGGAAAGGUUGAUGCUUAAUACGUAUCAACUGUGACGUUACUCGCAGAAGAAGCACCGGCUAACUCCGUGCCAGCAGCCGCGGUAAUACGGAGGGUGCAAGCGUUAAUCGGAAUUACUGGGCGUAAAGCGCACGCAGGCGGUUGGAUAAGUUAGAUGUGAAAGCCCCGGGCUCAACCUGGGAAUUGCAUUUAAAACUGUCCAGCUAGAGUCUUGUAGAGGGGGGUAGAAUUCCAGGUGUAGCGGUGAAAUGCGUAGAGAUCUGGAGGAAUACCGGUGGCGAAGGCGGCCCCCUGGACAAAGACUGACGCUCAGGUGCGAAAGCGUGGGGAGCAAACA
rnacentral:rRNA from 1 species